rnacentral:rRNA from 1 species
UACGAAGGGGGCUAGCGUUGCUCGGAAUGACUGGGCGUAAAGGGCGCGUAGGCGGUAUGGUACAGUCAGAUGUGAAAUUCCCGGGCUCAACCUGGGGGCUGCAUUUGAUACGUGCUGUCUUGAGUUCGGAAGAGGGUCGUGGAAUUCCCAGUGUAGAGGUGAAAUUCGUAGAUAUUGGGAAGAACACCGGUGGCGAAGGCGGCGACCUGGUCCGAGACUGACGCUCAUGCACGAAAGCGUGGGGAGCAAACAGG